GUCCCUUCGGGGACAUCCGAUAAAAUUGGAACGAUACAGAGAAGAUGACACGCAAAAAUCGAGAAAUAUUAAGGUUCAAU
rnacentral:snRNA from 1 species